GUUGUAUGGUUAAGUGACUAAGCGUACACGGUGGAUGCCUUGGCAGUCAGAGGCGAUGAAAGACGUAGUAACUUGCGAUAAGCCCAGAUUAGGUAGUAACUGGCAGUCAGAGGCGAUGAAAGACGUAGUAACUUGCGAUAAGCCCAGAUUAGGUAGUAACAACCAUUUGAGUCUGGGAUUUCUGAAUGGGGAAACCCACUUACAUAAGUAAGUAUCAUUAACUGAAUACAUAGGUUAAUGAGGCGAACCGGGGGAACUGAAACAUCUAAGUACCCCGAGGAAAAGAAAUCAACCGAGAUUCCGAAAGUAGCGGCGAGCGAAAUUGGACUAGCCCUUAA
rnacentral:rRNA from 1 species